rnacentral:rRNA from 1 species
UACGGAGGGUGCAAACGUUGCUCGGAAUCAUUGGGCGUAAAGCGCACGUAGGCGGCCUGUUAAGUCGGGUGUGAAAGCCCUGGGCUCAACCCAGGAAGUGCACUCGAAACUGGCGGGCUUGAAUAUGGAAGAGGGUCGCGGAAUUCCCGGUGUAGAGGUGAAAUUCGUAGAUAUCGGGAGGAACACCAGUGGCGAAGGCGGCGACCUGGGCCAAUAUUGACACUCAGGUGCGACAGCGUGGGGAGCAAACAGG